GUAGAGCUUAGGUUCUUCUCUCGGUCUAGCUGAAAGGAUUAGACAAGGAGGAAAAUUUAAACAAUGCUCUAAUCAUUAAGACCCCAUUAGUAAGGCUGUUAAAAAAUAAGUUACUGAUUGGCUGCCAAAUCAACAGUUUCUCUAAAGGACAGAGACAACCAUGGGCUGGAGUGUUUUGAAGAGUUUAUGUUUAAAUGGACACAGGGAGAGUUUAACUAGACUGGCAGGCUGGUGUAAGGAAGCAGCAGCUAGAAGCAUUCCACUAGAACUCCUGCUCCCUUGCCAGGAGGGUUGGCCAUGUGAUGGAUUCUUGUCAAGGGGUGGAAGUGGAAUGUGUCAUUUCUACAUCAAGUCUUCUAAAAUAAUGAGCGGUGGGGAGGGGCCAGAGGGAGAGAGAAAAAGCAAA